GCCCAUUGAGCUACGGAAACCCUGAAACGCUGGCCCAAUAGGAGAGAGCUAGUCUCUCUUUGCGACUGCAACUCUCUCUCUCUAGAAAAUCUUUCAGUCAUCAGUUAGAUCUUCAAAUCUCUGAAUCUCAUCAUCUGGGUGUUGUUUUCUUCUUAAUUUUCCCACUUUUUCUCUCGUCAAAUUUACACCUUUGGCUCUGAUUUUGCUUGCGGUUUCUGAUCUGUUUUUGUGGAGAUUCUUGGUUAUUCAUUGUUUCAGAACAUGGAUCUUUCUUGAAUCUGGAUUUGCACUUGAGUAUUUUUCUUUCCUUUUGUUUUUUGGUGGGGUGUUCAGUACUUUAAUUAUUAUUUGUUUCGAUAUAAGUGUGAUUUAGUGUGAUUUUACUUAGUGAAUUUCAUUUAUUACCCUGUUUGGUUGCCUAGAAAAUGGAAAUAAAAAGAAAGGAACCUCAGUCCCGUUCCAAAUUACCCUCCAUCCAAUUCUAAAAAUUUUGACUACACGAGCCAUAGACUCAUUCUAAAGUAAGUGCGCACGUAUUCAAUUUUACUCACAAGAAAUGGGCCCAAUUUCUCUUUUGAACGUUCUUGGUCAACACGUAAGGCUCUUAAACCCUACCAAAACCCUAAGAUUCAUUCAAACCAGUGAACAUGGUCCAACCCUAACCACACCAACUUGAAACUCCAUACAUCUAUAAAUACCCAAAGCCUCAUUCAUUUCCCAUAUCACAAGAGCAAAAAACCCCCUCUAGAGAUCCCAUUACAACCUACUUCCUUAAGCCCUAAAUCUUUGUUUUCAAUACAAGUUUCUCGGUUUUUUAGUCUAUGAUGAUGAGUCUUACACGAUCAAAUACUACCCUUUUGAUCAUAUUAGUCAUAUUUGUUAUUAUCAUAGGUCAAGUUCAUAUCGAAGGAGCAAGAAUGUUAUCAGGGGAGUUUAAAAGUGCAACUCAUCUUACAACGUCAUCUUAUGUUUAUAAGAAGACUAAGUUCACGAUGACUUAUUGGUUAGAGUGCUUAGCUUCUGGGCCUAGCCCUAGAGGUCCUGGUCACUAACUAACUAUAUCUUUUAGGAAAUAGUGAAAAAUAUAUGAUUCAUGUAGUAUAUUUGUUAUAUUUUUUUAUUUUUUAUUUUAUAUAUUAUAUAAUGUGCAAUUGAAGUAAAUAAAUAAAUAAAUAAAAUUAUUCUUUUCAAUUAUUGGCAUCUUGAUCAUUACUAGCUGCUUCUUGCAAUUUUUUCAAAUUCUUUUUUAUGUUUUUCUAUUUGGUUGCUAAGAAAUUAUAAAAAUAAUAGAAAAUUAACUAUUCAUUUUCCAAAAAAUUUAGUUGCGCCCAUUUGAAGAAUGAAAUCAACAGUGAAAGAGAACAUGGUGUAUCUUUUUGCCAUUUUAAGAAUGAAGUAGUGUGAAUGAGUUUCAAUUUUCCUUGUUACCCUGUUUGGUUGCCGGGAAAAAAAGGGCAUUUGUACCUUUUUUCCAAAAAGGAAAUCAACCAGGCAACCCAGGCCAUUGAAUUAGUUGAGUUCCAUCAUUGUUUUUUUCUGCCCUUUUUCACAGGCAACAGGUUUGAAUAAUCUUAUUUUGUGGAUUUUUAGAAAUAAAUUUGCAAUUUCACAUGUUGUUUUGACAACACUUUUAAUAUACUAAUUUAAUUUAUAGUAUUAACUAUUUUCUUAUUUUGGAAAAGAAAAUGACCAACAUUACCCUUCAACAAUGUUGACUUCAAGUCAUGAAUAGGGUCAUUUCAGCCCAUUACAACAGAGUGACUAAUAUUUAUGUCUCCAUGACUCUUUCAAAGGUCUAUGGUCAACAUGUAAAAUUCUUAAACCCUAGAAUCCAUUCAAAUAAGUGGGCACGGUACAAACUCCAACAACACUAGUCCUAAACUUCAUCGCUCAAUAAAUACUCAAAAGGUCAUUCAUUUUAGACACCGAUCCUAUCGCCUUAAACCCUAAAUCUCCUUCUAAAAAAGAAGCUUAUCGAUUUUUAAUUCACAAUGAUGAAUUUCAAGUAAUCAAAUAAUAUCUUUUGAAUCGUUUUAGUCAUUUUUGUCUUUAUUGUAAGUCAAGUUUGCAUCGAGGCAAUAAAGGUAUUAUCAAAGGAUAUUAUAAUGAAAAUCACCUUACAAUAUUUGUUUUUUACUUAUAAGAAAGCUAAGUCCACCGUAGCUUGUUGGCUCAAGUGAUUGGUAUUAGGGCUUAGCCCUAGAGGCCCUGGUUAUUGAUGAACUUAUUUUUUGAAAUUAUGAAGAUUUUUGCGUCUAUGUGUUUAUGAUAUGUAUUUUUGUUAUAUGUUGUAUAAAAUAAAGUUUUGUAUAUAGUUUUGUGUUACAUUUUUCUUAAAUUCUUUUAUGCGGACCAAAUUUUAUUUGAUAUCCUCAUAUUCUAAUACGAAUUAUGUCAAUUAAGCAUGAUUAUGAAACUUUUUUAAUUAUGAAAUUUUUUAUUCUUUGCCAUUGAUUGAUUCAUUUUCGUUAAUUUUAGUUCAUUAAAAAUCUAUGGCAUAAUUAAUGUUGGUUUAUUUCAAAAAAAAUUCUAGAUUUGAGGGAUAAUAGUUUUUUAUUUUUAUUUUUUAUUUUUUAUUUUUUAUGUUGAAAAAUAUAUGAAAUACCAAAAAAUAAAAAUAAAAAAAUAAAAAAGAUACACGCCAAUCUUCAACCCAAGUUCAGGCCCAUUGAGCUAUGGAAACCCCUGAAACGCUGGCCCAAUAGGAGAGAGCUAGUCUCUCUUUGCGACUGCAACUCUCUCUAGAAAAUCCUUCAGUUAGAUCUUCAAAUCUCUGAAUCUCAUCAUCGGUGUUGUUUACAUCUUAAUUUUCCCUCUUUUUCUCUCGUCAAAUUUACACAUUUGGCUCUGAUUUUUUCAUACAAAUUCCCAUACAUCAUUGUGGUUGUUGAGAUUAUUUCAGACGUUUUAUUCUUUGAGUUUUCGGUUUUGCUUGCGUUUUCUGAUCUGUUUUUGUGGAG
rnacentral:lncRNA from 1 species